rnacentral:rRNA from 1 species
AGAGUUUGAUCCUGGCUCAGGAUGAACGCUGGCGGCGUGCCUAACACAUGCAAGUCGAACGAAGCAUUUGAUUGGAAGUUUUCGGACGGAAGAUGGAAUGACUGAGUGGCGGACGGGUGAGUAACGCGUGGGUAACCUGCCCCAUACAGGGGGACAACAGUUAGAAAUGACUGCUAAUACCGCAUAAGCGCACGGGAGCGCAUGCUCUUGUGUGAAAAACUGAGGUGGUAUGGGAUGGACCCGCGUCUGAUUAGCUAGUUGGCAGGGUAAAGGCCUACCAAGGCGACGAUCAGUAGCCGGCCUGAGAGGGUGGACGGCCACAUUGGGACUGAGACACGGCCCAAACUCCUACGGGAGGCAGCAGUGGGGAAUAUUGCACAAUGGGGGAAACCCUGAUGCAGCGACGCCGCGUGAGCGAAGAAGUAUUUCGGUAUGUAAAGCUCUAUCAGCAGGGAAGAAAAUGACGGUACCUGACUAAGAAGCUCCGGCUAAAUACGUGCCAGCAGCCGCGGU